AGAUUGAACGCUAGCGGCAUGCCUAACACAUGCAAGUCGAACGGUAACAGGCCCUUCGGGGUGCUGACGAGUGGCGGACGGGUGAGUAAUGCGUAGGAAUCUGCCCACGAGGUGGGGGAUACGCCCGGAGAAAUCCGGAUUAAUACCGCAUAUGCCCCGACGGGGUAAAGGCGGGGGAUCGUAAGACCUCGCGCUGGUGGAUGAGCCUACGUCCGAUUAGUUAGUUGGGUAGGGGUAAAGGCCUACCAAGGCUACGAUCGGUAGCUGGUCUGAGAGGAUGAUCAGCCGACACUGGGACUGACGACACGGCCCAGACUCCUACGGGAGGCAGC
rnacentral:rRNA from 1 species